rnacentral:rRNA from 1 species
CUUGCCUACGGGGGGCAGCAGGGAGGAAUAUUGGUCAAUGGGCGCGAGCCUGAACCAGCCAAGUAGCGGGAAGGAUGACUGCCCUACGGGUUGUAAACUUCUUUUAUAAAGGAAUAAAGAGAGGCACGUGUGCCUUUUUGUAUGUACUUUAUGAAUAAGGAUCGGCUAACUCCGUGCCAGCAGCCGCGUUAAUACGGAGGAUCCGAGCGUUAUCCGGAUUUACUGGGGGUAAAGG